GAAUUAGCGCUAACCAUUGGUUAAAAUUUAACCUGCUGUUAAAACAGCAGGUUAAAUUUUAACCAAUGGUUAGCGCUAAUUC